UUUUGGGCAUAUUGGUGAUUUUGAACGAAAAAGGUUUGUAAUCCGUCGUAUAUUUCAACCAUCCUUUGAGAAUCGUUCAUUCUUCUGUCUGAUUUUUAUUGGAAAUAUACCAAACAAGGUAUUUUUAUCGUUAUUUUUUUAUUUUCGGUAGGAUAAGAACAACUAUAACAGCAUAUGCAUAUGAAGAUAUGAAUACUGUAUGAUUAUGUCCUGAUUAAUUUAACACAUGGCGUAAAACAGUAAAAACUCUUUGCUCUGUAGUGCGUUGAACUAUUUUUAAUCGAAUUGACGGGACUAAGUGGUUUUAACUUUCAAUUAGAACUUUCAUGUACAAUUUAUGCAGUUAAAUAUUAGUUAUCAAAUAUAUUAUUAUAUUGUUUAUUAACUAGAAUAAAUGUGACAUAUUUUGACUAGGGAUGAGCCGAUUAAUCGGUAAAUAAUCGGCAAAGCCGAUUAAUCGGCCGUUUUUUAAAUAAUCGGUAAUCGGCCGAUUAUUGCCUGAUAAUCGGCAAAUAAUCAGCCACAAGACUUUUUCUGCAGCUGCCAAGCACAUGCUAAAAUACUGAAUACAAGCGAAUAGAAUUUUCACAUUUUCUUGCAUAUUGUCUCAAGCGAAAUGAAGCCAGAGCUGAUAACAUUUCCACUGACGAACGCAGCAGACUAGCUCUGCAUAGCUGACAAUAUCCUGUUUUUACACCAUAAUCUGCCAAAACUAAACUGUGACUAUUGACAUGCAACAUUGAAGUUGUUUUUAAUUGUACAUAGUGUGUAUUGCAAACAAUAAAACCACAUUUACAACUUCAUUGUUGGUCAUCUUGUCAUUUUUUGCUUGCUUUUUAAAACAAUCGGCAGGUACCGAUUAAUCGGCCGAUUAGUUACGAUAAUCAGCUUAUAAAUAAUCGGCUUCAGUAAUCGGCAAUUUUCCUUAUCGGCUCAUCCCUAAUUUUGACAAGCGCCCCCCCGUGCCCCACUUCUAAAUUAGCAAAACAUUAAGUUAUUUUUGUUUACUUCAUAGCCUUAUGUAGAAAUUAAAGAAAUAUCUUGAAGAAAGUCAACAGCAACUGACUGACGUCUCAUCACAACUGACCUCUGUGGAAAGCAAGUGUGGAUGGUUUGAGAGAAGAUUAUCUAAAACUCAGG